rnacentral:lncRNA from 1 species
ACCCGAAUAGUUGUUGUUGCUCUAUAAGCCAUCAUCACUCUAAGUGAAGUGUCACCACAAAUUCUCUAACCAAAAGCAAGCAUUCUCAACCAAAAUUAUAUCUAAAUGCUCUCAAAAUCAUCAAGUGGAAGUAAGGAUCAUCAUCAAUUCUUUGGAUUUUCUUCUCAUCUUGUAAUUUCUUCAUAGUGGGUAUACUCAAAAUCUAUGUCUUUUAUUUCUCUUAUUUAUUUUUCUUUCUUUUUUUUUUCUAGAAUUCUAUAAACCUCUAUUAAUCCAUAUGAUAAAGGUUUAUAUCUCAUAUACAAUUUUGCUUUAUAAUUUUAGUAUAGAAUUUGGGGCUUAGAUGUAAGAUUGCGUUUUGAUCAAAAUUUACGUUAGUUGAUAAUAAUUGUCGUCACAUUCGUUUCAUUUUUGUUAAUUUGAUAAUUCUAGAUGUCACAUAUAUUUCUUCAUAAAUUGUUGCCAUCAUCAUAUUCUUUUAAGAGUUAUAUCAUAGUUGGGUUACUUUUGGAAAAUAAAAUAUAUGAAAUUGUUUUCUCUAAAUUUUAUGAUCUACCUAGAUGAAAUUUAUGAUGGAUUUUGUAGUCUAUAGAGUGAUCAUAGAUGAACUUUUUGUUAAAUUAUAAACAAAGCACUUUUUUGAAAAGUAAGAAAUUGCAUAUAUUGAAAUUAACUUUCUUUUAAAAAAGGACAUAUGACGUAAUAAAGAAAACUAUUUUUUUUCCUUUGUUUUAAUAAUUUAAGUUCAAAUAAUAAAUUUAUACAUACAGGUAACAUCUUUGAAAUUAAGUCAUAUCUAUAUGUUACAAAAUUAUAUUUAAUAUAUUUUAAUGAUUAAGAUAUUAAUGUAACUAUAUUAUAGUUUUUGGUUUUAUGUCACAUAAACAAAUAUAGUUAUGAGUAUUAAAGUUCAAAUGGUUAAAAAAAUUAGUUUUGAUAAUUUAUAUUUCUAAUAGGCAAAAACCCCAAAGUAUUAGGUUGUAUUGUUUUGUAUAUAUUUAUAUUGUAGUGUUGUUUUAUUUAGUAUUUUGGUCUUAUAUAUUUUAGGGUGACUUUGCUUUUUGAAUUCAUUUUCUUUCUCGAACACUCGUGCGGUUUUGCUAAGGAUUUAACAGAAAGCAAACAGUGAGUAAACUCUCUCCCCUUUUGUCAUUAACUUUUUGGGGUGUAUCAAUGUGUCCCGUUCAAUUGUUUUUAUCUAAAAUCUAGCAUGCAAAGUGUUGUGUGUCGUAUAUGCAUUACUUGUUGUUGUUGAAUGUUUGUUGAGUCAAUAGUCAUUCAUUUAGUGGAUCCACGGCUGACCUUUCCUCAUGACCUGGAGAUGUCGGUAUCACCCCACUAGUCUUGGGCUGACCUUUCCUCCUAACUAUGGAUAAUAUUUCCGUUCAUACCAGACUAGAAGCCCCUAGUAAAUUGUGCGUAAACUAAGUUGUUUUGAAUACGGUUGUACUAUAUAUAUAAUUAUCAUAAAAGACUAACACAUGUAGAUACUUCUAGUCUAUUUUAUUUUAUAAAUACUCCGUUUUGCUUGAUUAAUUAAACACUUGGGGGUUAAUACGACCGUGUCCGGGCGUCCCUACUUAUUUAAUUGCAAAUGAUCACGACUCAAAGCGCGGGGUGUAGGCAUACAUCUGACAUAAGCAAAAUAAAUGAUAUAUACACAUAUUAUAAAAUGUGGCGUGUCAAUCAAUCAUGUUCGGACAUUUGAUUAUCGGUCCCCGACUGUAUUGACAAGCAUGUAAAACUGAUAACAAGAGAUAGAGUUUGUCCCAAGUUAUUUAAAAAUGAAAUACCAAAUGGUAUUAAAUAAAUUUUGAAAAUAUUUUCAAAAGAGUCGGUAUUAGUAUUUACCAAUAAAAACUGACGUAUUUUCAAAAGAUUAAGCGCAGGUUAAGAGCAAAUACGGAAUAGGUUGGACAAGGCUUGGUCUUAGGAUUGGAAUUUGCAAUUCCACAAUAAAAGACCCACAUAGUCUCAAGUAUCUUUUAUUUCGAUUCCGCCUGUGGAUAUUUUGUACGAACAACUUGUAUAACUUUUAUUUAGUAUAUUCAAGCUUUUGUGUUUAUUACUU